rnacentral:rRNA from 1 species
CAGCCGCCGCGGUAAUACCGGCGGCCCGAGUGGCGGUCACUAUUAUUGGGCUUAAAGCGUCCGUAGCCGGGUUGGGAAGUCCUCCGGGAAAUCUGGCCGCUUAACGGUCAGAAUGCCGGAGGAUACUCCCAGCCUAGGGAGCGGGGGAGGCCGAGGGGAUUCCCGGGGUAGGGGGGGAAUCCUAUAAUCCCCGGAGGACCACCUGUGGCGAAGGCGCUCGGCUGGAACGCGUCCGACGGUGAGGGACGAAGGCCAGGGGAGCAAACCGGAUUAGAUACCCGGGUAGUCCUGGCUGUAAACGAUGCGGACUUUGUGUCGGACAAGCUAUGAGCUUGUCCGGUGCCGGAGGGAAACCGUUAAGUCCGCCGCCUGGGGAGUACGGCCGCAAGGCUGAAACUUAAAGGAAUUGGCGGG